UCCAAAUUAAUACAUAUAAAAACAAUUUAUUUAACAGGAGUGAAUUAGAAAAAGAAUUACAAGAAGAUCAACAGAAAACAACAACUUAUUUUGAAGAAUAUCUUCAGCUAAAAGAUGAAAAGGAUAGUCUAAUGAAACUGAAAAAGAAUUUGCAGGUUCAGAUUGAUCUAAUCAAAGCCGAACAAAGAAAACGCCAAUUUUCUAAAAAUGUAAAUAAUAACAGUGAUGAUUGGGUCAUGGUGGACUGAAAAGCAUUCACAUCAGAACAAUAGUGUAAAACUUUUGUCUGCCUAAAUAAAUCAACUAAAUAUGUCUAAUAACUCAAAAAAAAUAAAAGACUGUCUAUUAAGACAAAAAAUUUGUAUAAAGUAUGAAAAUGCCAUUCAUGUUUAUAGUACCAACUGUGGAAGGAGAAACGAACAUUUGUUACAUUGUAGCUUUGUAUAAAAUAAACAUAGUAAAUUCAGUAUUUUUAAAUUAA